rnacentral:rRNA from 1 species
AGAGUUUGAUCCUGGCUCAGAACAAACGCUGGCGGCGUGUCUUAAGCAUGCAAGUUGAGCGGCAAGGAGGAGAGAUCCUCCCUAGAGCGGCGGACUGGUGAGUAACGCGUGGGUAAUCUAUCUUAGGCAUGGGGAUAGUCACUAGAAAUAGUGGGUAAUACCGAAUAAGUUCCAUAAGGGGAGGACUUAUGGAAGAAAGGUGCUACGGCACUGGCCUUAGGUGAGCUCGCGUCCCAUUAGCUAGUUGGUGAGGUAAAGGCCCACCAAGGCGAUGAUGGGUAGCCGGCCUGAGAGGGUGUACGGCCACACUGGGACUGAGAUACGGCCCAGACUCCUACGGGAGGCAGCAGCUAAGAAUAUUCCGCAAUGGACGGAAGUCUGACGGAGCGACGCCGCGUGGAUGAAGAAGGCCGAAAGGUUGUAAAGUUCUUUUGCUAGGGGAGAAUAAGUGAGGGAGGGAAUGCCCUCAUGAUGACAAGGACUAGCGAAUAAGCCCCGGCCAACUACGUGCCAGCAGCCGCGGUAACACGUAGGGGGCGAGCGUUGUUCGGAAUUACUGGGCGUAAAGGGCAUGUAGGCGGCUUGGUAAGCCUGGCGUGAAAGUCUGCAGCUUAACUGUAGGGAUGCGUUGGGAACUGCUUAGCUUGAGUUACGGAGAGGGAGCUGGAAUUCCUGGUGUAGGGGUGAAAUCUGUAGAUAUCAGGAAGAACACCGAUGGCGAAGGCAAGCUUCUGGCCGACAACUGACGCUGAGGUGCGAAAGUGUGGGGAUCAAACAGGAUUAGAUACCCUGGUAGUCCACACUGUAAACGAUGUGCACGAGGUGCUGGGGCGGUAGUUUCAGUGCCGGAGCGAACGCGGUAAGUGCACCGCCUGGGGAGUAUGCUCGCAAGGGUGAAACUCAAAGGAAUUGACGGGGGCCCGCACAAGCGGUGGAGCAUGU